rnacentral:rRNA from 1 species
UUGAACGCUGGCGGCAGGCCUAACACAUGCAAGUCGAGCGGUAGCACAGAGAGCUUGCUCUCGGGUGACGAGCGGCGGACGGGUGAGUAAUGUCUGGGAAACUGCCUGAUGGAGGGGGAUAACUACUGGAAACGGUAGCUAAUACCGCAUAACGUCGCAAGACCAAAGUGGGGGACCUUCGGGCCUCAUGCCAUCAGAUGUGCCCAGAUGGGAUUAGCUAGUAGGUGGGGUAAUGGCUCACCUAGGCGACGAUCCCUAGCUGGUCUGAGAGGAUGACCAGCCACACUGGAACUGAGACACGGUCCAGACUCCUACGGGAGGCAGCAGUGGGGAAUAUUGCACAAUGGGCGCAAGCCUGAUGCAGCCAUGCCGCGUGUGUGAAGAAGGCCUUCGGGUUGUAAAGCACUUUCAGCGGGGAGGAAGGCGAUAAGGUUAAUAACCUUGCCGAUUGACGUUACCCGCAGAAGAAGCACCGGCUAACUCCGUGCCAGCAGCCGCGGUAAUACGGAGGGUGCAAGCGUUAAUCGGAAUUACUGGGCGUAAAGCGCACGCAGGCGGUCUGUCAAGUCGGAUGUGAAAUCCCCGGGCUCAACCUGGGAACUGCAUUCGAAACUGGCAGGCUAGAGUCUUGUAGAGGGGGGUAGAAUUCCAGGUGUAGCGGUGAAAUGCGUAGAGAUCUGGAGGAAUACCGGUGGCGAAGGCGGCCCCCUGGACAAAGACUGACGCUCAGGUGCGAAAGCGUGGGGAGCAAACAGGAUUAGAUACCCUGGUAGUCCACGCCGUAAACGAUGUCGCUUUGGAGGUUGUGCCCUUGAGGCGUGGCUUCCGGAGCUAACGCGUUAAAUCGACCGCCUGGGGAGUACGGCCGCAAGGUUAAAACUCAAAUGAAUUGACGGGGGCCCGCACAAGCGGUGGAGCAUGUGGUUUAAUUCGAUGCAACGCGAAGAACCUUACCUGGUCUUGACAUCCACAGAACUUUCCAGAGAUGGAUUGGUGCCUUCGGGAACUGUGAGACAGGUGCUGCAUGGCUGUCGUCAGCUCGUGUUGUGAAAUGUUGGGUUAAGUCCCGCAACGAGCGCAACCCUUAUCCUUUGUUGCCAGCGGUUAGGCCGGGAACUCAAAGGAGACUGCCAGUGAUAAACUGGAGGAAGGUGGGGAUGACGUCAAGUCAUCAUGGCCCUUACGACCAGGGCUACACACGUGCUACAAUGGCAUAUACAAAGAGAAGCGACCUCGCGAGAGCAAGCGGACCUCAUAAAGUAUGUCGUAGUCCGGAUUGGAGUCUGCAACUCGACUCCAUGAAGUCGGAAUCGCUAGUAAUCGUAGAUCAGAAUGCUACGGUGAAUACGUUCCCGGGCCUUGUACACACCGCCCGUCACACCAUGGGAGUGGGUUGCAAAAGAAGUAGGUAGCUUAACCUUCGGGAGGGCGCUUACCACUUUGUGAUUCAUGACUGGGGUG